rnacentral:lncRNA from 1 species
UCAUUGCUUUAUAUUUAACACUCCACCGUUCCCCUGUGUUUCCAGCUGUGGAAAGGAACGUAGCCACCAGAACAGUCACGCUUCAGAAGAGUACCUUACAGGGGCUGCAUGUGAGUGCCAUCGGGGGUCUCAAAGAGGAAACAGGCCUCUAUGUCUCUGCCAUCGACCCAGACUCAUCUGCUGCCCACAGUAGACUACUGGAGGUAGGUGAUAAGAUUGUUAGCAUCAACGGCAAGUCAACCGCAUCCCUCUCUCACACUGAAGCUCACACCCUCCUGAGAAAGCCCAGUGGGGCCGUCACUCUGCAGGUCAUUUCACACUGUGGCGCUAGUCGAUCGUCUUGGGAUCUGUCUUCAUCUGCUGUUCCAGAAAACUACGCUACCCCUAAUAACUUGAGCUCUCCUCAGUACCGGACUGUCUCUCUGGAGCAGGGCUCUGCUGGUCCGGGCUUCGGCACAGUGGGAGGUUAGUCCAGUUCUCACAGAGACUCAGCCGUUAAUAUUAAGAGCAUCUUCCCCGAAGUAAAGAAUACAUUAAUAAUAUAAGAUAAACCACUCAAGCAUAGAAUCCUUUCUCCUUGUUCUUCAAUAGUCAGGACCUCAGAGCACCACCACAGAGCAGCUCUUUUUUGGGUGGGGCUUUCUCAGCGCUGCAGUGACACUGGCAUGGUGGUUUAUGAGGUGUUGGUGUUUUUACUGAAAAUUGAGAGUAGUCCAUCAUCAGCCUCUCAUCAGUGUCCUGUGGGAAUUGUUUCAGGGGGAGCAUCUUGUGAGCACUGAUAAAGAACUGAGGAUGAUCAACACAAACUGUGCAGCAACAGAUUCAGAGCUUCUGUCUCGGACUUUACUUUAUCUACAUGGUGGAGCAGCUAGAUAUGAGUGUCUAACAGAGUGGAGGAGAGUGAGUGAACACCAUGUUUAAAAACCCCAGCAGCACUGCUGCUUCUGAUCUACUCGCACCUUCAGCACAAC